AGUGGUUUGAACAUGGAGUCAGGAGCAGAGGAACAUGCGGCAGAGAGCUGGGCAAAGGCUGAGCCCACCAGGCCUGGCAGCCGGGGAAAGAGAGCCCCCUGGGUCUGAAAUAGAGGCUGGAGAGGAGGACUGUGAGUCCAGAGGAGGGAGAGUGAUGGUAUCCCACACACAAGCCAGCGUGUCUAGGACUCCUAUCUGAAGACACUGCAGAGUGAUCAAAGUUAACAUCACUGCAACGGUAAUGGGAUGAUGAAGCCAAGCUGGGAGCAGGGGUGCACUGAGAACAGACGCCGCUUCUGCGGUAUCCCUGCCAGAAAGCCUCAACCUGAACCUAAUCAUGAGGAAACAUCAGGCCAACCCAAACUAAGGGACAACCUACACAUUAAACGUCUUGGAAUCUCCGAAAGUGACAAGGUCAUGAAAAUCAAGGAAAGGCUGAGGAGCUUUCCAGACUGAAGGCAGCAAAAAGACUUGGCAACCGAAAGUAACGGCGGCUUCUGAACCAGAUUCUGUUGAUGCCCACAAG
rnacentral:lncRNA from 1 species